rnacentral:lncRNA from 1 species
UUUACAUUCAUGAGUGCUGUUGGCGCUUGUACCUUGCAUCAAAUUAUAUUAAAUGUUCCAUGAGGUUGCACUUCAGAGAGUUUAAACAGUCAAGAAGGAGAACCUAAUCACACGUGCACUUUUUACAUAAUACAGUAUAAUAGUUUAGGCUGCACAAAAUUAUAUCUUUACCCAUUCUAGGCCCGAUUUCCCAUCUGGUGUGUUGCUCUGUUGAAGUUCCAAGUAGUCCUUGUACUUCAUCUAGUUGUCCACGGCUCAGUUGUUCUCGCCAUCCACUAGCUGCUCCACUGGCAUGACAACAGUGUCCAGCGACGGUCCACUAGAUAGAGAGAUUGAUAGCCUUGUUCAUGACAGCUUGAUGCAGAAUGCUCUUGUACUUCCCAUUGCUCAUAACCUUUCGUGAAAAGUGUUAGAAAAAAGUUAGUUGCAAAUAAGCUUUAUGGUAAUGAGAAGAACUAUCUGUACCAUAGUUUACGUGUAAUAACAAUGUCCCUUCCAUAAAGACCUCUGUCGUAUCUGCAUCUAUAAACCAAGGCACACUUUACACUUCACACACCAAAAUUUGAAACAAAUUGGACCUCUCUUGCAAAAUUAAUGGGGGAGAUUUGAAAGAUGAAACAUUAAUUCCUACCUAUGUAC